rnacentral:rRNA from 1 species
CGAGCACGCGCGUGUGGCAUAUCAAUAAGCGGAGGAAAAGAAACUAACAAGGAUUCCCUUAGUAACGGCGAGUGAAGCGGGAAGAGCUCAAAUUUGAAAUCUUCAAGGUUCUACCUUGACGAAUUGUAGUUUAUAGAAGUGUUUUCUGUUAGUAGAGUGGCAAAAGUUCUUUGGAAUAGGACAUCAUAGGGGGGGAGAAUCCCGUAUUUGGUCAUUCCUCCUAGCGUUGUGAUACACUUUCAACGAGUCGGAUUGUUUGGGAAUGCAGUCCAAAAUGGGUGGUAAAUUUCAUCUAAAGCUAAAUAUUGGCGAGAGACCGAUAGCGAACAAGUACCGUGAGGGAAAGAUGAAAAGAACUUUGAAAAGAGAGUUAAACAGUACGUGAAAUUGUCAAAAGGGAAGCGUUUGACACCAGUGUUGUUUAGUUGAAAAUCAAUUAAAUAUUUUUCGAUUUUAAGUAGUUAUGACUUCAUCAGCUUGCUGCUUUCUUUAUCGGAAACUUAUCUUAAUGCACUUUUCAGUUAACAAGUCAACAUCAAUUUCUUUUGUUGUAAAAGGGUAAUGAGGAAGGUGGCUUGCGCUUCGGAUCAAGUGUUUAUAGCCUUUUACCUCUGCAAUCGGAGAGAUUGAGGUCUGCAGCGUAGAUCCUUCGGGGUUAGAUACAUUUGUGCUAAGUUAUAGCUUUUCAUAGACAACUUGUUGACUAUGUUUAGUCUUGUAGCUUACUCGCUUAUGCUAUUUUACCUAACGCUUAGGAUGUUGAUGUGAUACUGCGAGC